GCCCCCGUGGCGGAACUGGUAGACGCGCAUGGUUUAGGACCAUGUCUCGAAAGAGGUAGGGGUUCAAAUCCUCUCGGGGGCA
rnacentral:tRNA from 1 species